UGGCUCGAUUUCCUGGGCGGUGGAUUCAGCCUAUUCCACCUUCCCUCAGGCGAGCCUAGAGCAGAGAGGCUGGGCUUCACCCUGCAUUGGAGAGGGGUUCAAGAAAGGCGCCUCACCAGGGCAGCCCUUGCCUCACAUUU